GUGGGGUACAUUCAGGAGAGGAGAGUUGCUGUGAGGCUCCGGACCUGCAGCUUCCCUGGGAAGGUCUUGUUCUCGCGGGAACUCUUGGAGGACCCCUAGCUAUUGUUGCUGUGGAGGAGCGCUAGGAAGGUGUUCAACUUGGAUGUGGGUUUUCUCCGCUAAUCGAGGCUGCUGCCUGGCACAUCGUGCCCAAACUCCUUCUCUGGUGGAGGUCUUUGUGGGAAUUUCGCCAGACUGACUAAAAUUCAAGAAUGUGAAGCUAGGCCAUCACAUGUUUCCCCAGAUGAAAUUAAAAGAACAGCUGAGAACAGCAGCUCCACGGUGAAGAUUUGAUUCCAGAAUUCUGAAGAGGCUUGAGGACCCCUGGCUUCUGUAGCAGUCAAUGGCAUCUUUGAAAGGAAGGAGGCACAAGCAUGGGGUGGGACAUCUACUACGAGGCUGCAGAGCACAAGGACACAGUGGGAGUAGCGCCUCACUGACCCUGGAGGAGCCUGGAGGAG